ensembl:rRNA 5S_rRNA 5S ribosomal RNA
GUCUAGGGCCAUACCACCCUGAAUGCGCCUGAUCUCGUCUGAUGUCAGCAGCUAAGCAGGGUCGGGCCUGGUUAGUCCUUGGAUGGGAGAAAAGUGCUCUGCGAGUAUGUCACAGGGGAAACGGACGUAGUGGUAA